AUUGAACGCUGGCUGCAGGCCUAACACAUGCAAGUCGAACGAGUGGCGGACGGGGGAGUAAUUUCUGGGAAACUGACCGUUGGUGGGGGAUAACUACUGGAAAUGGUAGCUAACACCGCAUACCAACGGAUGUGUCCAGAUGGGAUUAGCUAGUGGGUGGGGUAACGGCUCACCUAGGCGACGAUUCCUAGCUGGUCUGAGAGGAUGACCAGCCACACUGGAACUGAGACACUGUCCAGACUCCUCCGGGAGGCAGCAGUGGGGAAUAUUGCACAAUGGGCGCAAGCCUGAUGCAGCCAUGCCGCGUGUAUGAAGAAGGGCUUCGGGUUGUAAAGUACUUUCAGCGAGGAGGCGUUACUCGCAGAAGAAGCACCGGCUAACUCCGUGCCAGCAGCCGCGGUAAUAC
rnacentral:rRNA from 1 species